UAGAACUUGCAGGAUAUUAACCCACAUCUCCUGAAUGCAACUCAGACCCUUUAAAUUAAGAUAAAGUCCUU
rnacentral:tRNA from 1 species